ACUUGCAAAAUGUAACUGACCGGGUAUGGGUGACAGAGUCAAGUAUCAUGGACAUUCAAACUGACAUGACACAUGUGAAAGAUGCGAUAUAACAACUGCAGACCACCCAGCCAGGGCUCUCCCUGCAAAUGUCAACCUAUGAAGACCGUGCCCAUUGCAAACACAUCAAAAUACGUGGGGUCCCUGCUGACAUCACAGUGGACGAACUGUCACACUAUGUGAGAAGACUCCUUGCUACCAUCUUGCCUCCAACGGCCGACACAAAAACCAUUCUUGACGGGCUGGACCGGCUCCCAUCCUUGCUCAACACGCCUAACACAGCUACCAGGGAUGUCGUCCUACGCUGUGCUACAUCUCAGGAUAAAACCAACAUCAUGUCGGCAACUCAUGGCAAAACACCCCUGGUCUUUGAUAAUGCACAGUUACUAUUCUUUCAGGGCCUAACUAGAGCCACGCUCCAAUGGCUCCGUUCUCUGAACCACCUCACAAGCCAUCUGCUCACCGCUGGCGUGACCUAUCGUUGGGGAACAUCAAGAUCCCUACUGAUAAUCCACAACGGGACAACUCACAGAUCUCAAUGAACACCGAAGUACCUGCAGUGCUAGCCAAGAUGGGUCUCCCUGACAUGAACACCACUACAAGAAACCACGCUUGGGCAUGGGACCCCGUCAACUCUGUGCCAUUUUUCCCACGACCGAAUGAAACCGGCAGGCCCAACCGCUUGACUAGCAAGGGC